GUCCUUUUGAAUAUAAUUUUAGGUCUAACCUGCCCACUGAAUUUUUAAAUGGCCGCAGUAUUUUGACUGUGCAAAGGUAGCAUAAUCAUUAGUUUCUUAAUUAGAAGCUUGUAUGAAUGGUUGAACGAGAAACUUUCUGUCUCAAUUUAUAUAUUAGAAUUUUAUUUUUAAGUUAAAAAGCUUAAAUAAUUUUAAAAGACGAGAAGACCCUAUAGAGUUUUAUAAAUUAAAUAAUCUUUUUUUUAGAAUUUAACUCAUUAUUUAAUUUAUUUUGUUGGGGUGACAUAUAAAUUUAAUUAACUUUAUAUUAUAUAUAACAUAAAUAUAUGAAUAUUUGAUCCAUUAUUUAUGAUUAAAAGAAAAAAUUACCUUAGGGAUAACAGCGUAAUUUUUUUUUAGAGUUCAAAUCGAAAAAAAAGUUUGCGACCUCGAUGUUGGAUUAAAAUAAAUUUAUGGUGUAGAAGCUAUAAUAUUAGGUCUGUUCGACCUUUAAAAUUUUACAUGAUCUGAGUUUAAACCGGUGUAAGCCAGGUUGGUUUCUAUCUUUAAAUUAUUAUAAUAUUUUAGUACGAAAGGACCAAGUGUUAUUAAUAUUUAAUUUAUUAUGAAUA
rnacentral:rRNA from 1 species